GUCACGCCUUUCUACGCGCUUACUCGGAGCCGUGGCACCAGAUGACGAACUGGUAACCCGCUGGAACAGACCCGUACUGGAAGUAGUAGCUGCUGGACCUGUCCCAUGCUCUGGUCCUGACAUAGUUGGUGUCAUAAAGUGAGACCGCGUACUUGGACCCGACGAGGACGGACUUGUAGCUGAAUCCAUAGCUUUUGGUGUCGCCAAUGGCCUCAUGGUCGUAGUCGCACUGAAUGUGAAGCGUUCUGCCGGAGCAGUCGUCGUUCUCGAAGACCUGGACGUCAUAGGGCAUGCUCUGGGCGGCGGUUUGCGUGCAUGAGGCUGCCGAGGCGCCAAUAAGGGACAGGAUGCCGAGGUAAAACUUGAGGUUCAUUGCGAUGUCUUGUGGUGGGAAGGGGAAGUCGAAGAUGGUGUCGAUAGGGAACUUGAACAGAGGACAGAAUCCUUUCUCUUUUAUACUACGGAGGCUAUUACUAUUGUCAUUUUUUACUGAGUACUCUACAUUCUUUCGACUUUUGGCAUUAUUGUACAAGGUUUUUUUGAAGAAUAUGCCGCAUGUAUGAUCCUUGGAGACGCCGCUUCACGGAUAAGUUGCCACUGAAGGGAUAAGACGCCGCUAAAUGGAUAAGACGCCGCUUAAUGGAUAAGACGCCGCUGAAUGGAUACGCGGCUGUAUGGAUAAGACGACGCAGAGGUGAAAAAAUAUCGCAGAGGUGAUAAGAUGUCGCAGAACUGACAAGAGGUCGCGGAAUAGACAAGAUGCCGCUGAACAAACAAGACGUCGCGAAGAGAGCUGGAGGCGACGAAUCUUGUCCAGCGGGUUGAUUUGUGACCGAAUAUAGACUAUUGCGCAAUAGUCUAUUAUGUUUUCUGUAACCACAAAUGCUCUCGUUUUCCACUCCUUCGACUUUGAAAAGCAACUUUUGUCCCUGCGCCGCCGUGAACAUGGUCCGUUUUUAAGUUCCAAACCCUGAAGAGCGUGUGUGUAGAGUCAUGCAUGAAGACACUUUUAGUGCACCAGUCUAGGGUUACAGAAAAGGAAAUGGUUGUGUUUUCUUUCUUGCACCUAUCGGACUAUUGUAUAGCGUCAAAAUGAGCGUGGCUCUUAGUUAUUUUUUUGGUGUCUUUGUUUUGCAUCGUUUGCGCGGCGCUUGCAGUCUAUUCGUUGAAAGGUAACAGAGCCUCCCUCACCUCUAGCUAAUCGAACAUGGCUCUUCCAUCGCCUCGAACAGCAGUAGGGUUUUCCCGUCAAAUCAAUUUGCUUGUGCUACACAAACAAAAUUUCAAGGGAACUGAGGAAAAAUUCGAGGGAAUGGUAGGACAAGAUCAUGAUUGAGCUAUCCCUUUUUCGCUUCUGGGAUUUUUGGGUAGAUAUAACUGGCUUGUGGCAGCCUAGCGUUUAUAGCGGCGGCGCUUUUUGAACCUUCGAUGUCGGCUCCUCCUAUCAUACUGAAGUAGAAUUUAGUACGCGUUGGAUUGCUCACCUACUAAUAAGGAACAAGACUUGGAGGUUUGACCUUCCUGAUAGGUUAGUUUUACCCUCCUGAUGAGAUGUUGUUGCAAUAGUAAUUGACCUUAGUACGAGAGGAACUGUUCAUUCGGAUAAUUGGUGUUUGGGCCUGCCUGAGCAGGCAGUGACCCGAGGUUAUCGUCCGUUAUGCUAUGGCUGAACGCCUCCAAAUCAUAAUGCGUGCUAGAACGCAACUAUUACCACCUUUCUCCGAUUUUUAGUCGAACACGAAUAGACCCUCGAGUCCAAGGUCAUACUACGGGUGUAUGUUGCGGGGUGGAAAGACCGCCUAUGUUUCUGUGCAGGGCAAUUUCAAAUAUCGCAAGAGAUAAAUUCACUACAAACGACUUUAUUUGAACAAAGUAAUGAAAGCAAUAGUGUAGCCUUAUUGCUACGAUCCUGAGAUUAAGUCUAUUGUUCUCUAGAUAUGU
rnacentral:ncRNA from 1 species